rnacentral:tRNA from 1 species
GCCUGGGUAGCUCAGUCGGUUAAGCGGCUGACUUCGGCUCAGGUCAUGAUCUCGCGGUUCGUGAGUUCGAGCCCCACGUCGGGCU